UGGGUGAUCUGCCCUGCACUUCGGGAUAAGCCUGGGAAACUGGGUCUAAUACCGGAUAUACCUCAUUGAUCUCCUGGUUGGUGGGGGAAAGCUUUUGCGGUGUGGGAUGGGCCCGCGGCCUAUCAGCUUGUUGGUGAGGUUACGGCUCACCAAGGCGUCGACGGGUAGCCGGCCUGAGAGGGUGUCCGGCCACACUGGGACUGAGAUACGGCCCAGACUCCGUACGGGAGGCAG
rnacentral:rRNA from 1 species